rnacentral:rRNA from 1 species
GAUGAACGCUGGCGGCGUGCCUAAUACAUGCAAGUCGAGCGAACGGACGAGAAGCUUGCUUCUCUGAUGUUAGCGGCGGACGGGUGAGUAACACGUGGAUAACCUACCUAUAAGACUGGGAUAACUUCGGGAAACCGGAGCUAAUACCGGAUAAUAUUUUGAACCGCAUGGUUCAAAAGUGAAAGACGGUCUUGCUGUCACUUAUAGAUGGAUCCGCGCUGCAUUAGCUAGUUGGUAAGGUAACGGCUUACCAAGGCAACGAUGCAUAGCCGACCUGAGAGGGUGAUCGGCCACACUGGAACUGAGACACGGUCCAGACUCCUACGGGAGGCAGCAGUAGGGAAUCUUCCGCAAUGGGCGAAAGCCUGACGGAGCAACGCCGCGUGAGUGAUGAAGGUCUUCGGAUCGUAAAACUCUGUUAUUAGGGAAGAACAUAUGUGUAAGUAACUGUGCACAUCUUGACGGUACCUAAUCAGAAAGCCACGGCUAACUACGUGCCAGCAGCCGCGGUAAUACGUAGGUGGCAAGCGUUAUCCGGAAUUAUUGGGCGUAAAGCGCGCGUAGGCGGUUUUUUAAGUCUGAUGUGAAAGCCCACGGCUCAACCGUGGAGGGUCAUUGGAAACUGGAAAACUUGAGUGCAGAAGAGGAAAGUGGAAUUCCAUGUGUAGCGGUGAAAUGCGCAGAGAUAUGGAGGAACACCAGUGGCGAAGGCGACUUUCUGGUCUGUAACUGACGCUGAUGUGCGAAAGCGUGGGGAUCAAACAGGAUUAGAUACCCUGGUAGUCCACGCCGUAAACGAUGAGUGCUAAGUGUUAGGGGGUUUCCGCCCCUUAGUGCUGCAGCUAACGCAUUAAGCACUCCGCCUGGGGAGUACGACCGCAAGGUUGAAACUCAAAGGAAUUGACGGGGACCCGCACAAGCGGUGGAGCAUGUGGUUUAAUUCGAAGCAACGCGAAGAACCUUACCAAAUCUUGACAUCCUUUGACAACUCUAGAGAUAGAGCCUUCUCCUUCGGGGGACAAAGUGACAGGUGGUGCAUGGUUGUCGUCAGCUCGUGUCGUGAGAUGUUGGGUUAAGUCCCGCAACGAGCGCAACCCUUAAGCUUAGUUGCCAUCAUUAAGUUGGGCACUCUAAGUUGACUGCCGGUGACAAACCGGAGGAAGGUGGGGAUGACGUCAAAUCAUCAUGCCCCUUAUGAUUUGGGCUACACACGUGCUACAAUGGACAAUACAAAGGGCAGCGAAACCGCGAGGUCUAGCAAAUCCCAUAAAGUUGUUCUCAGUUCGGAUUGUAGUCUGCAACUCGACUACAUGAAGCUGGAAUCGCUAGUAAUCGUAGAUCAGCAUGCUACGGUGAAUACGUUCCCGGGUCU